UACGUAGGUGGCAAGCGAUACUCGGAAUCACUAGGCGUAAAGCGCAGGUAGGCGGUUUGGUAAGUCUUUUGUGAAAGCUCCUGGCUCAACUGGGAGAGGUCAAAGGAAACUACCAGGCUAGAGUGUGGUAGGGGAUACUGGAAUUCCUGGUGUAGCGGUGAAAUGCGUAGAUAUCAGGAGGAAUACCUAUGGCGAAAGCAGGUAUCUGGGCCAUCACUGACGCUGAGCUGCGAAAGCUAGGGGAGCAAACAGG
rnacentral:rRNA from 1 species